rnacentral:misc_RNA from 1 species
AACGCAUAUUGUGUCUUGUAGUAUUCUGUAGAGCAUGCCUGUCUCAGCAUCAUAAAACCUCAUCAGAUUAGGCCUUGUUUGAUGGCUUGGUUUGGAUCUUAUGAAGGAAGCAAUUGAUUUAAAAUAGUUGCUCCUUAGAAAAACAUAGAUUGCUAAGAUAUUGAUCUGUACUAAUGUAAUAAGAAUUAUAUAUCAUUGGCCAGCAGCUCUAAGCAGUUUUAUAAGUGCUUUCUGUACCCAAGAAUAUUAGCAAGAAUUGAUCUGAGAUCAGAUAGGAAUACCCGCUGAACUUAA